rnacentral:rRNA from 1 species
GAUGAACGCUAGCGGGAGGCCUAACACAUGCAAGCCGAGCGGUAGAGAUUCUUCGGAAUCUUGAGAGCGGCGUACGGGUGCGGAACACGUGUGCAACCUGCCUUUAUCAGGGGGAUAGCCUUUCGAAAGGAAGAUUAAUACCCCAUAAUAUAUUAAGUGGCAUCACUUGAUAUUGAAAACUCCGGUGGAUAAAGAUGGGCACGCGCAAGAUUAGAUAGUUGGUAGGGUAACGGCCUACCAAGUCAGUGAUCUUUAGGGGGCCUGAGAGGGUGAUCCCCCACACUGGUACUGAGACACGGACCAGACUCCUACAGGAGGCAGCAGUGAGGAAUAUUGGACAAUGGGUGAGAGCCUGAUCCAGCCAUCCCGCGUGAAGGAUGACGGCCCUAUGGGUUGUAAACUUCUUUUGUAUAGGGAUAAACCUUUCCACGUGUGGAAAGCUGAAGGUACUAUACGAAUAAGCACCGGCUAACUCCGUGCCAGCAGCCGCGGUAAAAC